AAAAAAAAGCCUGUGGGUAUGUUUAAAAUGGUUUUAGAAGGCUUUACCUUCUAAGGUAAGGAAGAAACUUAAGGCUGAAUGAUUUAGCUUAGUGAUGAUUGCUCUUACUGGUAACGUUUUUAAACACCCCUCGCUUCUUGGGAAGAUGCCAGGGAAAAAUCAGGAACAGAGGGAUUAUACUGGUUUCCUUCUGCUUGCCAGCACUGUCAUAGUCUGUGUGGCCCAUCAGAUGCAAUGCCUUGCACCAGAUGAUGUUUUGCUCUCCUGAAUGCAAAUGGUGAGAGGAAGAAAGAACUUGUUCUGCUCUGUUCCUCACUUCUGCCUUGCACUCGGCCAGCCAAAAAACGUGUCACUACCUGGUUUAGAAUUGCUUGUAAAACCCUGAACUAAACCAGCUAACAGUAUGUCAACACUGCUCCUUUUGAACUCCUGGUAACUUCUCCCAGAUCCAGACAAUGCUGUUGAAGUGUUGCACAAGAGGCAAUGGGGUGCUGAAUUAAAUGAUGAGUAACAUUGCAGUAGUGCAGGAUCAACGUGAGUAUGACAUUUGUUCUGUUCACAUCCUAAAAAGGGAAAACUUCCAGUGAAAAUGAAAGUAAACGUUAGCAGUGUUUGGUAGUAAAGGAGGAACUUUCUUAGAAAUGCAGCUGUGGGUAGCAGAGAGCAUGGCUGUAGCAGGAUGACAAUGCACUUUAAGGGUUUGUCCCAUGUGGGUUACACCCUGCUGCUUUUGGGUUGCUCCUGCCUGUGGCCUGGGCAAUCUGGAUUCAGACUGGACAAGAAAUGACUGGGAUACAGGCCAACAAGCCAGCAGAGGGAAUGCUUUGGAGUUCCCGUUUUUGAAGUCAUUUGAGAGGAUCAAGAAAAUGAUCUUGUGAUGGGGAAGGAAAAUAACACAUACAACCCCCUAUUUAUCUCAUGCAAAAGACGAGGGGAGCUGCUGUUGGCUAGCACUGCUGAGGAAAGCAACUUGCAUAAAGCAUGGUUGGGCAAUUACAUAAACACUGGCACCUGACUGCAGUAAGCAGAGAUGAAAUGGCAAAGUUUUCAUGCUUGGAUUUUGUGUUAGAUGCUGAACUGGGAACAAUUUCCAUCAGUGAUGCUGGAUAAUAAAUUCAUUAUUAGGAGUUGCAUUUCCUUCUGAAGGACUGCUUAUCUUCAAGUGCACCUGAUUGGAUACUGAGUCCCACAAACCUUUAGUCUGUUCCAGUAAAGUGAUUCUGAUACCUGUAAGUGAUAACGAAAUAUGACGUAAAUCUAACUUAAAAAUAUCUUAAUGAUGUCAAAUGUUUUGAUCUGUGUCUUUCCUUCCAAGCUAGACUUGAACAGAAAGUCAACUUGCAAAAUCACAGCAGCUGUGCACAAACCAGUGGAGUAAACAGAGGCACUGUGAGAAGCAGCUGUAAUUUUUAGCUUGCUGAAACUAAACAGGCUCAGUAUACAGUAAGCUAGACAUUAGCAGAGUAAUAAAUAAUGAGAUUCAGGACAGUUUGCACUUACAAAUGGAUUAUGGCUGAAGGUAUCUUGUAGCCAAGGAGCCUCAAGGAUGUUCUUCAUUGGAUGCCUCAGUUAAUAUAUAAAAGUGAAAUUACGUAUUUAUCAUUACAGUUUAUGGGUUAACUCCUGGUUUUGUGUACACAAAAGAACAGGACAAACUGGGAUAAAGUCAAGGUUUGGUCUCCCAGCACUGUAUGUAUACCUGUACCAAACAAGUGUGCUCGGGAGUUAGGCUGCAGAAAGAACCUCUGGCUGCUGGCCUGAAUGGACAAGAGGUCUGUGCUGAGUCACCUCUCUUUGCACCAUCAGGUUUUUUCCUUGCCUGCCAGAGGUGUGCUGCUGUACCUGUUGCUACUUGGGAGCAGCUAAGAAGCCUGGGACCAGCCUGCUGAACUCUGUGUUGGCAGAUGCUCCUGCUGGGUGGGUUGCAUCUCUUCUCUGACUCCUCUCCAGUGCACAGGGCCCUUCUGCUGCUGCAAAGGGCUCUCUGUGGUCAACACCAGUGGGAAGGAGCGUGCUAGGUGCUAUAUUCCAAAGAGCUCAAAGAUCUUCGAUGAUAAUAUGCAGAGGGGAAGAAGCAGGACCACACUGGAUUAUAACCAGCCAUAAAACCUGAGCAGACUGCCAGGAAGGUAGAUGAUCUAACUGCAGACCCAAGGAGACAGAAGUUUCUGAUUAAACAUCAGGAAAAGCAUUUUUUUUUAUCUUAAUAUCUGUACAUCUGAGAUACUGCGUUUCAUCUUACUCAAAUUUCCUCUUUUUGUGCUGACAGGAAUGAGUGUACUCCCCUGGAAGUCUGAAACUGCAGCUUGGUUUUCUUCAGUUUUCAAGCAGGAUAAGUAACCUGCAGAACAUCAUGCAUUUUGUUCAUUUGGGUCACAUUUCAUUCGUGUUAUCAGAUCCUUUUGAAAUGGGAAUGCAUAUAUUUUCUCAUAGCAUGUACUUGUUGAGCCUGGCCAUAUGCAACUAACUGAAGAGCUAUGUAAAUAUGCACAAGUUUGAGUGUACUGACAGGUACAGGGCUGCUUGGUAUUCUUGCAGGGCUAGUUAUAAAACUACCCCUAUACAGUGCUGAAGCAGACAAAGCUACCGACUCAAUAGAGAAAUCAAACUCAUCACAAAGGAGCCUGUCCCUGCAGCCAAGAGCACACUGCCAAAGCCACUCUUUCAGCCAAAGCCCUCACUGACCUCACACGUUUAUUUUCUUCGAGUACCUGCCAGCAAGUGACACUCAAGAUGGUCCAAACCACCUUCCUUGGCCACUGCUUGCUUGCUCUGGGUGCCCCUUCCCUUCUCUUCACAUGUUCCUUGGAGGUCAUUUCCCUUAAGGGUUUAGCCAUUCACCAUUCCCUUUCCCAACUGUCUGAGGCUUUUCCUCACUGAAAUUCCUGGUAAACCAAUCUCAUUUCACUACUCAGAAAGGUCUCAGUUGUGAACCCAACUGCAAGAGGUAAUAACAGCAUAUUAGGUGAUCUCAUAAUAUUUCCUUGUUUGAAUCAUGUAAUUAAACCUGGCCUCUUUUAUUAACUCAAGUAUUUCUGAUGUGGAGGCCGUGCAUCUUUGAAAACAUGUUAAGAAUGAUGGCUGAUCACCAGUCCAUACUUUGAAUUGUAUCAGAGUGCUGUUUAGAAGGCAGAGCCUUUAUAGAAUCAUGCAAUAUCCCAAGAUGGAAGGGACUCCCCAAGGAUCAUCAAGUCCAACUCCUGGCUUGACACAGGACCACCCAAAAAUCAGACCAUGAAUCAUCAUCAUACUGUAUGCAUUCCUGAUGCUGACAAUGUAAUGCAAAAAAUGGCCUUGUGUAAACAAGCAGAGAAAUCUGGUUUUAAUGAAGGAGAAGAUGGAUUACUUUCAGCUUUCACUGGUAUUGUUCUUACAGUAUUUAGCAAAAACUAAAAUAAUUCCUCAUCUAGGUGAAUGUAGGCCUUAAGUCUUAUAAAUAAGACCAAACUAAGAACACAUGCUAUUUCAAAACGCUAUGAAUGCUAAGACUCAGAUGUGGCUGUUUCUUGAGUGGCUGGGCAAGUACCAAGAGGGCUGAUCUUGUCCUGUCCUGCACAAUCUCCUGCAGCCAUGCAGUUACCAGACUAGGGAACUGAUCCAGCUGAAAAUCAGCAUGCACAAAAAAGCUUCCAGCUGUACUAAUUCCCUCAUUCAGCAGCACACGUGGCUGCAUUAGCAGUGGUGCCAGUGCAGAGGAAGGAUUGGGAACACGCUGCUGGGAGGGGCAGAGUGGGACUUCCCCUGCUGCCAGCUGCUUUCAUGUUGAUAGUAUUAAGUUGUGAAGAUGUAGUCUUGAGUCUGUCUUCAAAAGACAUUUAUAUGCUGAUGAGUCUGAGUCUCACUGAAACUGGCAACUGCUCAGGUGAGACCUGGAGCGAGGCUUGGAUACUUUCAUCCGCUCACAGUGGCCAUCACAAAGAGCAGAUGCUUCUAUGUGGUCUUCAAGACCAAGAUACUUUGCUCCUUUGUAGCACAGCCAACAGCUAUGCUGUUACCCUGCCACCACUGCCAGAUGGCUUCCCAGCCUCUGCCUAAGGGAUGGCUGUGAUGUGCAAUGUCACAGCUCCCUGGAGAGUACCCCAACCAUAGAGCUGCAGGGUGUUAUGGGACAGCAAUGCCAAGUACGCUGUGGUAGCAAUUAUGCUCAGUGUGGAAGGCUUUAAUAUUUAUAGAGUACGUGGGAGGGAAAAGAGAAAAGAGCAACGAGAAUGCUGGGUUCAUCUCUUGUGAAGGCACUAACAUGUGCUAGGUCCCAGGUCGAGGCACAGGCAUUGGAACUCAGGAGUUGCCCUCCCUGCCACGCACCCUGACCACAAGGUCUGCCUUACCCUCUAAUUAAAGGAUGCCAUGCAAAAUAAAGCCCGAACCGGAGGGUUGGGAGCCAGGUGAGCAGGUUGGUGCUGAAGGGACUGGAACCACUUGUCAAAGAACCUGGGGAGGCGAACUUGGGGGAUUGGUCUCCACCAGCACUCUAGAGUUGCUAGUGGCUAAAAAGACAAGGUAUUUUGAGGGGAGCCCUUCUCAGCAGAUGUGCCCCAAAGAUCACUGACAAGGGCGAAACCUUUUCUGUCUGAGGUUGAUGAUUCAGAGGAGUGCAGAUUUUGGCACAGCUCUUCUCUUUUCUGGCCUCUCUCAUUUCCUGUGGGAGAUGGCAUCUGGCUGCACUCCAGGAACAACCAAACUUCUCCGGCUUCCACACUUUUCCCAAUUAUCUCUGCUGGGUUGAUGCACGGCACUGGCUUUCCCAACCAGUCUCCCCCUCCUCUCUUCCCUGUGGCACUGGAGUCUUGCCAUGCCAAGCUCCACCUCUCCUCCUCUUCUUGUUGAGCAGCCACUUGGAAAACACAGCCAUGUGCAGGCAGGAUCUUGUACGUCAGGACAGAGCAGAAGGCACUGUCUGUUGACUUUGCCAGGAAAUGCGGCCUUCUUCUGGAGGGAGGGUUGUAGUGGGAACAAGGGUGCUAACCAAUCCACUGGGCUCUUCCAAACUCAUUUAUCUCCCUCAGGUCCUGAAGUCAGUCUUUUUGGCUGUUUAUUUUGGACAGGAUCCCUUUCUAUUAGCAUUGAUGUAACCACUGUAUACCCAUCUGGGAGAGGAACUUCCCUUGCUUCCCGCUCCUUUACAUGUGGUGUUGCAGCUCGAAGCAAGGAAAGGAGGCCAGCACCAUCCAACGGACCCGCUGUCUGCAGGCUGUCAGCACGUAUCAUGAGGAACACAGUGUGGCUGCCUUCGAUGAUUGGUAAUUCAGUGUCUGUUGGCUGAGUUACAGUCCGUCUCAUUUGCAUUCAGUUACCCCAGAGGACACGGGCUGGCCCAGUGCAUGGUUUAUGUGACAGCAUUCUGGUUAUAAAAAAAACGUGGUCCGUCCCCAGCAUACAGUAAGAGUCCCUUCCUAGAAAAGCAGCAUGACUCAUGCAGUCUGAGCAUUCACUCCCAAUUCAUAUUUUCAGUUCUAGGGAAACAUCUUCACUUUUCUUUACUUCCCUUUAACUGUCGUUAAAGAAUGAGACACCUUUGCUCCAGCCUCAAGGCAGCAGAUGUAAGUAGUAAAGAGCAAUAAUACAAAGAGCAAAGUUAAGUAUAGUUGCCACAAUUUAACUAAUGUCAGAGAGACGGUGAGCUUUCUUUGACCUCAGUCCUCUCCAUUUUCUCUGUGGAAAAAACACGAACGCAUUUCUGAAGUCUUUUGCGUUACUUAUGAGAGGCAAGCAUCUAUGAAGAUACAUAAGUAUCCCUCAAUUUCCACUAGGAAAUCAAGAUGCUCUUACGGAGGGAAAGAAAAGCACACCGAAACACACUGAGAACAUGGUGCAUGAUCUGCCACUUUGGCUGGUGUCCCUUCAGUUCACUGCAGUGUGCAAAAGUGGAUUAUGAGCACUGCAGAAAAGCUAUACUUUGCCACUUGGAGCAUAGGGGCUUUUCUGAGGAUGCUUCUUAAACUGCGCUCUGUGAUGCACCUUGUCUCCAGAACUACAUUAGGCACAAACUCUUUGGGUUAAAGUUUGAUAUGUGGAGAUUGCCAAGAAAUCAGUCCAAAAAGGGAAGACAUUGUUUGAGGAAAGAGAAAAUAUCUUUUCACUUCUAAUCAAAUGGAAGUUCUAAUUUCUAAGAAAACACAAUUUCUCUGAAUUGGCAGAUCUGAGUCCCCCAGCAUAAAGAAAACAGUAUUAUAUACUGCUACUUUGCCAGCAGCAUGCUGCCUUAGUUACUGCUUUAUUUGAUGAGUGGUAAAAAACUGCUAUAUUUCUCCUUAAUAUUCUGAUUCUAGGCAACUAAGGUCAUGUAUGUGUAGCAAAUCCUCACUAUGUAGCCUGUAGUAGAUAGGAUUAGCAAUCAAGAGAGGGGAAACAGUGUGCGUUGAAUUUUUCAUUGUUUCCAUAUUAGCUCUUGCUGCAGGAAAAGAUGAGAAAUGCAACUUACAGAAGCCUAAUUCUGAUGGCAAGAACAUUAUGGAAAAUACACAUCAUUUACUAGUAAUACACUUAACAAAUUGUGGUGACUAGAUAGGACAAGUCAAGGCAGUUUUCUCUUACUAGCACAAUUGAUUUAACAGAACAUUGCCAAUUUGAAUUUGGGUUAAUUAAUAGAUUUUGAAUGAUUUUCUAGAACCCUGUUUCUUUUUCCUUCCUUCUCCUUCCACGUGCUUCUUUCUUUCUAUCUCUUUCCUUUUCCCUUUUUAAAAAAAAAGCUGCCGGGCAGCUCAGGAUGCUUUUCCUGUCUGCAUUUUCUGUGCUUAUCUCCUGUGCUCUGGAGCAGCGCUUGCCUGCAGCUAAGCAAGCUCAGGCUGGAAGCACGCCUUCUGAGAGAUGCGUGUUGACUGACCCUCUUUAUCAUAGUUGAAAAGUCACAGCUGUCCAGCGAAGUCCCUGGUGACUGGAAAAAGGGAAACAUCACUCCCAUUUUUAAGAAGGGGAGAAAGGAAGAUCUGGGGAACUGCAGGCCAGCGAGCUUCAUGUCUGUGCUUGCAGAGGUCAUGAAGAAGAUCCUCCUGGAAGAGAAGCUAAGGCACACGUGAGAUGAUGAGUUUGAUUUGAGACAGCCAGCCUGGCUUCAUCAAGGGCAGAUCAUGACUUACCAAUCCAGCAGCCUUCUAUGAUGGAGUGACAGCAUUGGUGAAUAAAGGAAGUGCAACUGAUGUCAUCUACCUGGACUUCUGCAAGGUGUUUGGCAUGGUCCCACACCAUAUCCUUAUCUCUAAACUGAAGAGAUAUGGAUUUGAAGGACGGAUAAAGAUAUGGAUUUGAAGUUCAGUGGAUAAAGAGUUGGCUAAUAGUUGUAGCCAGAGGGUUGUUGUCAGUGGUUCUAUGUCAGGGUGGAGUCUGGUCAUGAGUGGUAUCCCCCAGGGGUUUGUCUUGGACUGGUGCUCUUCAACAUCCUUAUUAACACAGCGGGAUCAAGUGCACCCUCAGCAAGUUUGCUGCUGACACCAAGCCGAGUGGUGCUGUCAAUACAACAGAAGGAAGGGAAGCCAUCCAGAAGGACUCUGGACAGACUUGAAAAGCGGGCUCCCAAGAACCUAAUGAGGUUCAAGAAGGCCAAGUGCAAGGUGUACUUGGGUCAAAGCAAUCCUAGAUAUGAGUACAGACUGGGAGAUGAACUCCUGCAAAGCAGCCCUGCCAAGAAGGACUUGGAGAUCCUGAUGAAUGAAAUGGUGAAUAUGAGCCAGCAGUGUGCACUUGCAGCCUGGAAGGCCAAUGGUAUCCAGGACUGCAUCAA